AGCUGGUUUAAGGCAAAUUAUAGCCUGAAUUAAUAUCUUUAGAUACUUUUCCAACAAAGGUUGUGUUAUUGUGUUUAACAAUUCAUAAAAACAUACCACAUAGCAUGAGUGUUUUUAAUGAUUAAUUUUCGGUACUGAACAGCUAGCAAAUAUUUGGCUAGAAUUACCUGUGCUUAGAUGCUGUGCAAUUGAAAGAAAAUUCUCCUGUGGAUGUGCUAUUUAUAACACUACUUUAAAAUAUUAUCUUGUUCAAAUGCAGCAUCUCAUUAGGAGUUAAGUCCUAGAACUACCUGACCCUCCCCCCAAAAAAGUACUCCUUUAAAAUAACAUGUUGUCAUGGUAGUGUGAAAAUGUUAAGGUGCUAUUGUCCCUCUAUGAAAUGAGCACACUACCACAAUGACUUCAACUUCUGUGGUGAGAAAUCACAAGUCACGCCACAAGUCACUCUCCGGAGUUGAGAAGCCCUCAUCAGAUGGUGGAACAGAUCACUGUUUUCUUAAAGCUUUAAGGUAAAAUAUUACAUGACAGAGCACAAGAAAACAUGGGACUUUAAAAAAGCAAAUGGAUAAAAUCUGUCAUUUCAAAAAAACCCCCAACAUUAUAAAGGACUCUUCAUUUUUAAAGGAAAAUAAUGGAGAAGAAAUGUCGGGCACUCUGGUUUUCCUGAAUGGAUUUUAGCUCAUAUGCAUCACAAGCCAUUUUUUAGGAAAAUCAAAUUUUCACACAUUUAUAGAAAUAAUUUGCUUCAGAUCUGCAAUGAAGGCUUGAAG
rnacentral:lncRNA from 1 species